rnacentral:rRNA from 1 species
AGAGUUUGAUCCUGGCUCAGGACGAACGCUGGCGGCGCGCCUAACACAUGCAAGUCGAACGAGCGAGAGAGAGCUUGCUUUCUCAAGCGAGUGGCGAACGGGUGAGUAACGCGUGAGGAACCUGCCUCAAAGAGGGGGACAACAGUUGGAAACGACUGCUAAUACCGCAUAAGCCCACAGCUCGGCAUCGAGCAGAGGGAAAAGGAGCAAUCCGCUUUGAGAUGGCCUCGCGUCCGAUUAGCUAGUUGGUGAGGUAACGGCCCACCAAGGCGACGAUCGGUAGCCGGACUGAGAGGUUGAACGGCCACAUAGGGACUGAGACACGGCCCAGACUCCUACGGGAGGCAGCAGUGGGGAAUAUUGCACAAUGGGGGAAACCCUGAUGCAGCGACGCCGCGUGGAGGAAGAAGGUCUUCGGAUUGUAAACUCCUGUUGUUGAGGAAGAUAAUGACGGUACUCAACAAGGAAGUGACGGCUAACUACGUGCCAGCAGCCGCGGUAAAACGUAGGUCACAAGCGUUGUCCGGAAUUACUGGGUGUAAAGGGAGCGCAGGCGGGAAAGCAAGUUGGAAGUGAAAUCCAUGGGCUCAACCCAUGAACUGCUUUCAAAACUGUUUUUCUUGAGUAGUGCAGAGGUAGGCGGAAUUCCCGGUGUAGCGGUGGAAUGCGUAGAUAUCGGGAGGAACACCAGUGGCGAAGGCGGCCUACUGGGCACCAACUGACGCUGAGGCUCGAAAGUGUGGGUAGCAAACAGGAUUAGAUACCCUGGUAGUCCACACUGUAAACGAUGAUUACUAGGUGUUGGAGGAUUGACCCCUUCAGUGCCGCAGUUAACACAAUAAGUAAUCCACCUGGGGAGUACGACCGCAAGGUUGAAACUCAAAGGAAUUGACGGGGGCCCGCACAAGCAGUGGAGUAUGUGGUUUAAUUCGACGCAACGCGAAGAACCUUACCAAGUCUUGACAUCCUGCGACGGUGCUGGAAACAGUACUUUCCUUCGGGACGCAGAGACAGGUGGUGCAUGGUUGUCGUCAGCUCGUGUCGUGAGAUGUUGGGUUAAGUCCCGCAACGAGCGCAACCCUUAUGGUCAGUUACUACGCAAGAGGACUCUGGCCAGACUGCCGUUGACAAAACGGAGGAAGGUGGGGAUGACGUCAAAUCAUCAUGCCCUUUAUGACUUGGGCUACACACGUACUACAAUGGCGUUAAACAAAGAGAAGCGAGACCGCGAGGUGGAGCAAAACUCAGAAACAACGUCCCAGUUCGGACUGCAGGCUGCAACUCGCCUGCACGAAGUCGGAAUUGCUAGUAAUCGCAGAUCAGCAUGCUGCGGUGAAUACGUUCCNCGGGCCAUUGUACACACGGCCCGU